AGUGAACGCUGGCGGUAGGCCUAACACAUGCAAGUCGAACGGCAGCACAGUAAGAGCUUGCUCUUACGGGUGGCGAGUGGCGGACGGGUGAGGAAUACAUCGGAAUCUACUUUUUCGUGGGGGCUAACGUAGGGAAACUUACGCUAAUACUGCAUACGACCUACGGGUGAAAGCAGAGGAUCUUCGGACCUUGCGCGAUUGCAUGAGCCGUUGUCGGAUUAGAUAGUUGGCGGGGUAAAGGCCCACCAAGGCAACGAUCCGUAGCUGGUCUGAGAGGAUGAUCAGCCACACUGGAACUGAGACACGGUCCAGACUCCUACGGGAGGCAGCAGUGGGGAAUAUUAGACAAUGGGCGCAAGCCUGAUCCAGCCAUACCGCGUGGGUGAAGAAGGCCUUCGGGUUGUAAAUGCCUUUUGUUGGGAAAGAAAAGCAGCAGGUUAAUACCCCGCUGUUCUGACGGUACCCAAAGAAUAAGCACCGGCUAACUUCGUG
rnacentral:rRNA from 1 species